CUCUAUGGUGGGCUGGAUGGGGGAGCCGCAAGGCUCGCCGGUUGGUUGUACCGGUAAGGCUAACUCCGUUCAGUUCACCACCCAA
rfam:Serratia symbiotica genome assembly, type strain CWBI-2.3T, contig: SYMBAF_Contig_10